AAGCUAAACGUGGUAUUUAAGGCUCCUGGGCUUCAGAUGGCUGCUCCUUCAGGGGCUUACCGAAGGCUAAAAGAAGAGAGUAGUCUGCCAGUGCACAGGCUAGAAGGAGAUCCAUGGAUCCUCACUUCACAGCUGGCAGAAGGACAGCCUCACUGAUGGAGACAUUUU